CUUUCUCUAGAUAUCAAUGUAGAAGUGCGUUUAGGAGUUAGUCAUACUGAUGUGUCUUAUAGUUAGUGGACAGAAAUGGGCAACUAGUUUCUAGUUAAUGAAAUUUAUUUCAGAUGUCUGUUUUAGGAUGGUAUGCAUUAUGCCCUAGAUGUACCUUCCCCCCACUACAGAGUCCAGACUUAUAGAUCAGAUGUCAUCACCUACAGCAAAACAUUCCAAGUGUUAAAAUGAAUCCCUUCUCCUGGGUCAAAACCCUUCCCCACUGUAGUGAAUGAGGUUUUGACUCUGAUGAAACCAGAAGCUCGCUUAUUGUUGCUCCGUCUCUGUUUCACCUACACUGCUGUGCUAGGCUGUAUCACAGUCACCAGGCCAAGAGUAAACAACCAUUAGAUGCUGUGGGCAUGGCCUUUUCCAGUUUAGGAGCUAAGCUUGCUGUUCGAAACCUGGUAGGAACAGGGAAAAGCUGCUGGCAAUAACUUGGCUCUAAGGCAGUGGGUCCUGCAGACCUGGAGCUCAACAAGAGGCAAGAACAGGGAAUCACUGCCUAAGUUAAAACAUCGCUGCUCCUAGAUUGCAUCCUUUGCCACUCCUGUGAUUUGCCAUUUGAAAGCUUCCCCAGGCUUUUCACAUAUAAUGUCAUACAUGUGACAGUCAGCAAAUAGCUUGUGCCUCAGGUAUCUCUGUCGCAGCAGAGGGAUCCCCAUCUGCCAAGCAAGAGCAGACAGAUGAUGUGCUCAGUGGGCAGCAAUGCACAGAGCAUGCAGCCACACAAAGAGAGGCUGUGGUGUGGACUAGGGCUAUAAAAACACUGCCAUGAGACCCAGCUGGCAAAAAAUUUGCCCUUAAGGUCUUGCAUGAAACACGCCCACUGCUGUUGUGUUGGCUUCUUCCUCCCAGGAGACUUCUCACAACUGUCCCGAGUUUCAGUGCACAUCCUCACCAUUCAGACCAGUGUCAAUUUCUAAUUCUCCCCAAACUUUACUAUUGAAUGGAUGGGGCUGAACAUCAGAAAUUUUUGUAGAUUGGUGUCUGAAGAAAAAAAUGGAAGAGAAUCAGAAGAUGGAAAAAAAAGGAGAAAGUUGACACACUAUUCAGGAAAGAGAAGUUAUGGGAUCACAAUAAUAGACCAUUUUCAAACACAAUUUCAUUGCCUUUCACUCAGUUAAUUAUGCUUCAAAUUGCCCUAGAUGGUGCCAGAAGCAGUCUUAGAAAUAGAAUAAAUGAUGAUAGUAAUACCAGCUUGGUUUUGUGGAGCCUCCAUAACUGGGUGGCACCUAAAUAAAAGCAUCUAAGGUGCCAGAAACCAAUUUGUGGUUUGGUUUUGGAUUCAUUUACAAUUUGGUUUGGCUUUCAAACAGAUCUAAGUAUGAUUGGGGUAGGGUACAAGAAUACAGAGCCCUCUUAUUUCUGUGGGGUGGUCAAGGUUUGCAUUUCACCACCACCGGUUCGUGGUUAGCCUCUUCUUUUGGCUAUUAAAUUUGAUGAAGAUUAUAGAACUGUCGGUUGCUCAAAGCACUGCUAGAGUUAAUGAUGGUCUGUUUAUGUGUACAUCUAUGUUUGUGCAGAUGUGACUGCAGAAACAGGACCAGAAUCCGGGUAGCUGAACAGCCAAUAUCAGCCAAGACAGUUGGAUACCCCGUGUCUCAGGAACUGAUGCCAACAGCAGUCGGGGGAGCAGCGCUGGUGUUCAGCACAUUUGGCUUUUUUCCUUACGUUCUGCACAUCAUGGGAGGAAUAGAAAUCAAAGGCAUGGAAGCAGUGUGAUUUUCAGAGGAGUGUGACUGGCACAUUUUGCAAAGCAGCAUGUGGAAAUCAGUCUGACUGAAGUACAGAAGCUGGUUCCAUGGGAGUGCUCCCUGCCACAUCUGAGCUCAACCUGGCUGUUAGGAAUAGGGGAUUGGAAAACAAGAAAUAAGGAACUCCGUAAUCUUUAGUGGCCCCAAAGAACAACAAUAAAAGUCCCAAUUUUUGCUCUGUAGAUGAGAAAUUAAACAAAUAAAACACAUCCUUCACUUCUAGCUCUACCAAUGCCUUCCCACAUCUUUUCUGCGUGUAGGAACUGCAUGUAACUGGGAAGUAAUCAUUUUCUGCAGUGUGCCUUUUCAGCAGCUGUUAGGACAUCUGGAUAGAAAACCAUCUGGUGCUUAUAUGGUGGCAAACACCACCAUAAACUUCCAGAAUCCCCCUUCUUUUGCAAAGUUGCUUAAACAUUAAAUGGCAGCAGGGCUCUGAAGUAAGUCCUGCUCCCAGGAUGAGAGGAGGGGAGCUCAAAAGCAGCUUUCAACAUGGAACUUUGGAUGGUAACAAAAGUUUUGAUACUGCACCCAAAGUCUCAGAUAUAAGCUUUUGACUUCUUCAGCAUCAGUAGAUAUUCCCUCCACUCCAGGUCUCCCCACGUGGAGCAGUAUCUCCGGAGAACUGUAGACAGUUUGAUUUCAUCUCAUCCCAUCCUUUCCUGGGUAUUUUUCCAUUAGAGCUUUGCACAGAGCCCACAGGAUUAGGGAAGAGCCAGAUCUGAGUCUGUCAAGCUGUGGUUCUGUUUUCAAUGGUUAUAUAUAUUGUGCUCUGUGUUGAAUUAAAACUACAAUAAAAGUCCUCUCACUUGUUACUGUA